rnacentral:rRNA from 1 species
CAAUAGCGUAUAUUAAAGUUGUUGCGGUUAAAAAGCUCGUAGUUGGAUUCCUGUAUGGAAGGGGCGUCCCCACCCUUUCGGUAUGGGGGUUGGGCUACCCUUUCCUUUUGUCAUCUUCCGGACGUAGAUGUUCCUCCACUUAACUGUGAGGACAUCGUGCUCGGGUCAUUUACUUUGAGGAAAAGAGAGUGCUCCAAGCAGGCAAACGCCUGAAUACGUUAGCAUGGAAUAAUAGCAUCGGAUCAUCGUUCAGCUGUUGGUGUCUGGACGAGGAUAAAGGUGACAGGGAUUGUUGGGGGCAUUCGUAUUUAACUGUCAGAGGUGAAAUUCUUGGAUUUGUUGAAGACGAGCUACUGCGAAAGCAUUUGCCAAAGAUGUUCUCAUUGAUCAAGAACGAAAGUUAAGGUGAUCGAAGACGAUUAGAUACCGU